CUUUGAUGAAUCCAGCAUCGUCUCUUUCUUCAUCUCCAGCAGCAAGCAUCACAAAGCCAGUUUUUCCUAUGAAUUCAAGCCAAGACCCUCUUGUCUCUUUCACCCCCCAUUCCACAUCUGGGAAAUGUGUCAGGAUAAGCUAGAAAAAGCUACUUUCAAAUUGGAACAGCAAGAACCAA